rnacentral:rRNA from 1 species
AUGCAGUAGAACGCUGACUACUUUAGCUUGCUAGAGUAGAAGGAGUUGCGAACGGGUGAGUAACGCGUAGGUAACCUGCCUACUAGCGGGGGAUAACUAUUGGAAACGAUAGCUAAUACCGCAUAACAGUGUUUAACACAUGUUAGAUGCUUGAAAGAUGCAAAUGCAUCACUAGUAGAUGGACCUGCGUUGUAUUAGCUAGUUGGUGGGGUAACGGCCUACCAAGGCGACGAUACAUAGCCGACCUGAGAGGGUGAUCGGCCACACUGGGACUGAGACACGGCCCAGACUCCUACGGGAGGCAGCAGUAGGGAAUCUUCGGCAAUGGGGGCAACCCUGACCGAGCAACGCCGCGUGAGUGAAGAAGGUUUUCGGAUCGUAAAGCUCUGUUGUAAGAGAAGAACGUGUGUGAGAGUGGAAAGUUCACACAGUGACGGUAACUUACCAGAAAGGGACGGCUAACUACGUGCCAGCAGCCGCGGUAAUACGUAGGUCCCGAGCGUUGUCCGGAUUUAUUGGGCGUAAAGCGAGCGCAGGCGGUUUAAUAAGUCUGAAGUUAAAGGCAGUGGCUUAACCAUUGUUCGCUUUGGAAACUGUUAAACUUGAGUGCAGAAGGGGAGAGUGGAAUUCCAUGUGUAGCGGUGAAAUGCGUAGAUAUAUGGAGGAACACCGGUGGCGAAAGCGGCUCUCUGGUCUGUAACUGACGCUGAGCUCGAAAGCGUGGGGAGCAAACAGGAUUAGAUACCCUGUAGUCCACGCCGUAAACGAUGAGUGCUAGGUGUUAGCCCUUUCCGGGCUUAGUGCCGCAGCUAACGCAUUAAGCA